rnacentral:rRNA from 1 species
AUGAGCACCAUGGCGAUGUCGGCGCUGAACCCGGACGCGCCCAUGUUCAUCCCGGCGGCGUUCAAGAAGGUGGAGGACUACUCGCCCGAGUGGUGGGAGCUGGUCAAGACCACCGCCUGGUUCCGCGACCACUGGUUCCGCCAGCACCAGCUCUACGAGGACCUCGCCGACGACGUCGACGUGGACGACGUCGCCGCCCUCCUCCCCGACGACUCCGUCGACCUGCUCGACGCCGACGACCUCUUCUACUCCCCGCCGUCGCCCCAGCCCCAGCCCGACUUCUACCACUACAAACCAGCAGGGUUCGGCGGCGACAUGGACGCGGUGCUGAAGACGCUGAGCGUGAACUCGCCGAGGGGCGGCGGCCCGGCGCCAGCCUGGGCGCCGAUGAGGCACGCCGAGAAGCCGGCGCAGCACGUCGGCCCCAGGGCCGGCGGCGGCGCCCGCCGCGCCAUCCACCAGCCGCGCUAG